GAUGAACGCUAGCGGCAGGCCUAAUACAUGCAAGUCGAACGGUGUCUUCGGACAUAGUGGCGCACGGGUGCGUAACACGUAUGCAACUUACCUUACAUUGGGGGAUAGCCUUUCGAAAGGGAGAUUAAUACCGCAUAAGACAGUAGCUGGGCAUUCAGCAGCUGUUAAAGAUUUAUCGAUGUAAGCUGGGCAUGCGUCCAAUUAGCUAGUUGGUGAGGUAACGGCUCACCAAGGCAAUGAUUGGUAGGGGAACUGAGAGGUCAAUCCCCCACACUAGCACUGAGAGACGGGCCGGACUCCUACAGGAGGCAGCAGUAGGGAAUAUUGGGCGAGGGACGCAAGUCUUACCCAGCCAUGCCGCGUGCAGGAUGAAGGCGUUAUGCGUUGUAAACUGCUUUUAUACAGGAAGAAACGACUCUUGCGAGAGGCAUUGACGGUACUGUAUGAAUAAGCACCGGCUAACUCCGUGCCAGCAGCCGCCGUAAGAC
rnacentral:rRNA from 1 species